CCUCGGGAGGACGGAGGGAGGAAGAGUGGGCAAAGGGAGAGAGCCGGAAACAGGCAAGUAGAGUGAAGGAGGACGGACCUAAGGGUUGUAAACUUCUUUUAUAAAGGAAUAAAGUGAGGCACGUGUGCCUUUUUGUAUGUACUUUAUGAAUAAGGAUCGGCUAACUCCGUGCCAGCAGCCGCGGUAAUACGGAGGAUCCGAGCGUUAUCCGGAUUUAUUGGGUUUAAAGGGAGCGUAGAUGGGUUGUUAAGUCAGUUGUGAAAGUUUGCGGCUCAACCGUAAAAUUGCAAUUGAUACUGGUAGUCUUGAGUACAGUUGAGGUAGGCGGAAUGCGUGGUGUAGCGGUGAAAUGCUUAGAUAUCACGAAGAACUCCGAUUGCGAAGGCAGCUUACUAAACUGCCACUGACAUUGAUGCUCGAAAGUGUGGGUAUCAAACAGGAUUAGAUACCCUGGUAGUC
rnacentral:rRNA from 1 species